CCUACGGGAGGCAGCAGUGGGGAAUAUUGCACAAUGGGGGAAACCCUGAUGCAGCGACGCCGCGUGAGUGAAGAAGUAAUUCGGUAUGUAAAGCUCUAUCAGCAGGGAAGUAAAUGACGGUACCUGAGUAGGAAGCCCCGGCUAACUACGUGCCAGCAGCCGCGGUAAUACGUAGGGGGCAAGCGUUAUCCGGAUUUACUGGGUGUUAAGGGAGCGUAGACGGUAGUGCAAGUCUGGAGUGAAAGGCGGGGGCUCAACCAUCGGACUGGUGUGGAAACUGUACGGCUGGAGUGCAGGAGAGGUAAGUGGAAUUCCUGGUGUAGCGGUGAAAUGCGUAGAUAUUAGGAGGAACACCAGUGGCGAAGGCGGCUUACUGGACUGUAACUGACGUUGAGGCUCGAAAGCGUGGGGAGCAAACAGGAUUAGAUACCCCAGUAGUC
rnacentral:rRNA from 1 species